CUGAGCUAAUGAUGAUAGAAAGUUAUCCCUGUCUGAACAUCUUUUGUGUGGAUUUUGAUUUGCUGAGGCUCAG
ensembl:snoRNA SNORD1C small nucleolar RNA, C/D box 1C